rnacentral:tRNA from 1 species
ACCUGGCUGGCUCAGUCGGUAGACCAUGUGUCUCUUGAUCUUGGGAUCAUGAGUUCAAGCCUCAUGUCAGGUG